rnacentral:rRNA from 1 species
GUGGGGAAUCUUCCGCAAUGGACGAAAGUCUGACGGAGCAACGCCGCGUGAGUGAUGAAGGUCUUCGGAUUGUAAAGCUCUGUUAAUCGGGACGAAAGAGCCUAGUGUGAAUAAUGCUAGGAAGUGACGGUACCGGAAUAGAAAGCCACGGCUAACUACGUGCCAGCAGCCGCGGUAAUACGUAGGUGGCAAGCGUUGUCCGGAAUUAUUGGGCGUAAAGCGCGCGCAGGCGGAUCUGCCAGUCUGUCUUAAAAGUUCGGGGCUUAACCCCGUGAUGGGAUGGAAACUACAGAUCUAGAGUAUCGGAGAGGAAAGUGGAAUUCCUAGUGUAGCGGUGAAAUGCGUAGAUAUUAUGAAGAACACCAGUGGCGAAGGCGACUUUCUGGACGAAAACUGACGCUGAGGCGCGAAAGCCAGGGGAGCGAACGGGAUUAGAUACCCCUGUAGUCC